rnacentral:rRNA from 1 species
CCCUAUGGGGUGCAGCAGGCAACUGGGCCUGAAGACGAUGGGAUGCAACAGCCUCAUCUGUUCGGGCACAGGCCAGGCCAGGAUAAAAAAAGAUGGGCUUUCCAGCCAGGAGAUGAAGGCCGCCCUCUCCAGGGCACUGGAGGUUGCCGGGGAGCUGGGGAUCGAAUUGGUCUGGUAUUCACCCACCUGCUACAAGGACCUCAACCCAUUGGAGAUGGGGCUGGGGAUCAAGGGCUGCUCGGCAGCGCAGUACAAUAUGACCAUCGAGCCGGACGGGAGGGUUAUCCCCUGCCAGUCAUGGAUCCAUCAGGGUUGCGGCAACAUUCUUAAAGACAAAUGGGAGACGAUCUGGAACAAUCCGAUCUGCCUGGGCCUGCGAGACAGUACUGAAGUUUUGAGAGAAGAAUGCGUCGGCUGCCAGCAUUGGGAUGAAUGCGGCGGGGGGGC